UACGUAGGGUGCGAGCGUUAAUCGGAAUUACUGGGCGUAAAGUGUGCGCAGGCGGCCGCGCAAGUCGAGUGUGAAAGCCCCGAGCUUAACUUGGGAAUUGCGCUCGAAACUACGUGGCUGGAGUGUGGCAGAGGAAGGUGGAAUUCCACGUGUAGCGGUGAAAUGCGUAGAUAUCGAGAGGAACACCUGCGGCGAAGGCGGGUUGCUGGGCUGACACUGACGCUGAGGCGCGAAAGCUAGGGGAGCGAACGGG
rnacentral:rRNA from 1 species